rnacentral:rRNA from 1 species
AUGCAGGGGAUGGCCCUAGCAUUACAACAUACAGAGCGGCAAGUCAUGGUGCAAUCUGAUUCUUCUGAAGCGCUCAAUGUUCUCAGUGAUAGCUUGUCUCGUUCGGCUUAUGGACACCUAGUAGCAGAAAUCAAGUCAAUGAUGAAUGAAAGGGAGUUUGUUCCACAGAAAAUUAGUAGAGCUCAAAACAAGGUAGCAAAUUGUAUGGCAAACUAUAGCCGUACCGAGUCAUGUACUGCGGUGUGGAUGUGCAGAUGUCCUUCAUGUUGUGAGGACUUAUUGCCUCUCGAUUGUAACCCUGAGUUUGGAAUAAAACUCCCAUAUGAUCUUGCAAAAAAAAAAAAAAAAAAACCAUGCCCAGCAGCAGCCACAACGACGUCACCCUCAUGA